rnacentral:lncRNA from 1 species
CAGUUGGUGCUCAUUGUACAUGGGUGUGUUUUUCAGGCCACAGCUGGAAGACAGAGAAGAUUAAGAACAAUAUCACAAUGUUUUGGCUAACCCUAUGCCUUCCACAACUAUCCAGUUGGAACUGUACACCUGAAGAAGACUGCAUUGGCUGUAUCCUCAUCUGUUCUGCCAUGCCGUUUUGCUGCUCUUGCCUCUGUAUUCCAACAUGAGGGUUGAUAUGGGUCGUUAUAGGCAAGCAACAGAGGGGGAGAUUCAAAUGGAUCUGUCAGAGCACGCCUCUGCCCCAAGCUCCGUAGGAGAGUUUAGAAAGACGAGUUAUCCUGUUGGAGUCCAAGGGAUUUGAAAGGCAAAACGGCAACUCCGGUAAAUGUGGGAGCUCUUUGGAUUUCCUGUUGGAAGUGGGCCUUUGUGCCCGGCCACAUUGUCUUGUGGUUGUCUUUGUGAGUAAGUGUGUGCUUCCCUCCGAGCCAAAGCUGGCUGCUGUAAUUGUGCCACAGUUGUUCAGACUUCGACCAAAGGACAUUGCAGAUGAGCA